rnacentral:rRNA from 1 species
GAGUUUGAUCCUGGCUCAGAACGAACGCUGGCGGCAGGCUUAACACAUGCAAGUUGAACGCGUGUAGCAAUACACGAGUGGCGCACGGGUGAGUAACGCGUGGGAAUAUGCCCUUCAGUACGGAAUAACGUCGGGAAACUGACGCUAAUACCGUAUAAUGUCUACGGACCAAAGAUUUAUCGCUGAAGGAUUAGCCCGCGUUGGAUUAGCUAGUUGGUGAGGUAACGGCUCACCAAGGCGAUGAUCCAUAGCUAGUCUGAGAGGAUGAUCAGCCACACUGGGACUGAGACACGGCCCAGACUCCUACGGGAGGCAGCAGUGAGGAAUAUUGGACAAUGGGGGCAACCCUGAUCCAGCCAUGCCGCGUGAGUGAUGAAGGCCCCUCGGGUUGUAAAGCUCUUUUAUCCCUGAAGAUAAUGACGGUAAGGGAAGAAAAGCCACGGCUAACUUCGUGCCAGCAGCCGCCGCCG